GAUGAAGAACGCAGCGAAAUGCGAUAAGUAAUGUGAAUUGCAGAAUUCAGUGAAUCAUCGAAUCUUUGAACGCACCUUGCGCUCCUUGGUAUUCCGAGGAGCAUGCCUGUUUGAGUGUCAUUAAAUUCUCAACUAUUAUCAGCUUUAGCUGAUAAUGGCUUGGAUAUGGGGGUUUAUUUUGCUGGCUUCUUCACAGAUUUUCAGCUCCCCUUAAAUGCAUUAGCCGGUGCCCCGCGUGGACUGUCUAUUGGUGUGAUAAUUAUCUACGCCGUGGACAUCUACAAUCAUAUGGGUUUGCACUGCUUCCAACCGUCUGUUUAUUCAGACAAUACAUGACAAUUUGACCUCAAAUCAGGUAGGACUACCCGCUGAACUUAAGCAUAUCAAUAAGCGGAGGA
rnacentral:misc_RNA from 1 species